ensembl:lncRNA
UCACAAGACCGGGGUCAACCACGGCUACCAGCAUGAAUGACAGCGCUUCAGAGAGUGUAUUAAUCCUUUUUGUCCUGACAACUGGACCCAAGCCAUGCCAGAAGAUUGACCCUCACAGCGUAACAAAGCCAGAUCCUGUCACUGUAGGACUCAAGAGGUUUCCCAGAGACUAUGGGUUGAGGAGGAAUUGGAAGUUUGUCGGCUUAGACCUGGUGUCAUUCCAUCAGUGUCAAACUUCCCGGCUCAUCUUGGAAGAGUACGUGCCAGAAAGACCACGACCAAGCAGCCUUGAGAUCUUAGGCAGCGUCUCCCUCAGUUCUGCCGGGCCAGCUCAGCUUCCCCUCAGAAGAAGUGCCGCCACCUGCCAGAUGAAGGAGCCUUUUGAGAGGCAGCUGGCAUCGUGAUUGGACUGUACUUUGGUCUGUUCCAAUCCAGCUUCAGCUCCAGAGACGGCAGGCGGGACGAGUCAACGGAGGCCUGGUGGACGAAGGCAUGCAGCUGAGUACAAUCCAGAAAACAACAGAGGAGGAGUGCAGCAGCCCAGGGCCAGAAUAAACAGAGAAGCACAUUAUGUCUCUUAGAAAACAUCAU